AGUGAACGCUGGCGGUAGGCCUAACACAUGCAAGUCGAACGGCAGCACAGUAAGAGCUUGCUCUUACGGGUGGCGAGUGGCGGACGGGUGAGGAAUACAUCGGAAUCUACUUUUUCGUGGGGGAUAACGUAGGGAAACUUACGCUAAUACCGCAUACGACCUACGGGUGAAAGCAGGGGAUCUUCGGACCUUGCGCGAUUGAAUGAGCCGAUGUCGGAUUAGCUAGUUGGCGGGGUAAAGGCCCACCAAGGCGACGAUCCGUAGCUGGUCUGAGAGGAUGAUCGGCGACACUGGAGCUGAGACAGGGUCCAGACUCCUGCGGGAGGCAGCAGUGGGGAAUAUUAGGCAAUGGGGGCAAGCCUGAUCCAGCCAUACCGCGUGGGUGAAGAAGGCCUUCGGGUUGUAAAGCCCUUUUGUUGGGAAAGAAAAGCAGCAGGUUAAUACCCCGCUGUUCUGACGGUACCCAAAGAAUAAGCACCGGCUAACUUCGUG
rnacentral:rRNA from 1 species